AGCGCUCUAGAACUGUAUUGCAUUAAUUUAUAAACUUAAUGCGGCCAAAUCCGCAUAAAUCAAACGGGAGAGUCGGGUUUAAGCCGCAUUGCAUCACAGAUGAAAAAAAAAUUAAAAUUAAGAAACUUCUGCAACGUUUUCACGCCAAUCCUUCGUGGUUUCAUAUCACCCAAUCCAGCAACACCAAAUCGAUUUGACAAUCAUCGCUCGACGCCAUCAUUGACGCCUUCACAGUGCCGCGCGACACCAUAGCCACUGCUCCAUGAAGACGCCUUCACUGUGGAGAAGAUGAAGCCCAUAGAAGAAGAAGAAAGAAGGAGAAAAAGAGGAAAAGAAAAAUGGAAAACAAACUGAAGAAGAAAAGGAGGGAAAAAAAAAAGAAAAUGAGAUGAAGACGAAGAAAGAUAAAAAAAUGAAUAAAGAAGAAACAGAUCUGGAGAAGACGAAGGGAGGAGAGAGAGGAAGCAGAUAAUGAUACAUUCAAAAACAUUAUCCAAAAAAAGAAAAUUAAAAAAAAAGUAAAUAAAUAAAAAUAUAUGUUCUUUUAAUAAAUAAACAAAAAGUUAAUAAAUAUUAUUUUUUAAUUAUAUAUAAUUUAAAUUAAUAAAAAAUUUAAUACAAUACAAUGAAACACUAAAUAUAAUAUAAUUAAAAAUUAAUACAAUAUAAUAUUAAACCAACUGUCGUACAAUAUUAUUGUAAUUCAA
rnacentral:lncRNA from 1 species